AUUCGUUUGUUGGCUGUCUGCUAUAAAGGUUCUUUUGGAGCUAUUUAGUUAGAGUCUAAAAGUGAAGUGUAGUGAAGUGAAUAUUGCCAAUAAUAUUGUACAACAAAAACACACUUACAUACAUACAAACAUACGUGAAGUACAUGCAUAUUUAUCUGUUUGUAUGUACGUUUUUUUUUUGUUAAAGACUUCGUUUUUUGUGUUCAUUUGUAUGUUUUUUUUUUAAGUAGAUUUGUUGGUGUUUUUGUUGUUAUUGUUGUUCUAGUUUACGGUAUCGGCUCGUGUACUACUCAUUCGUCUCUUCGUCGGCAAUAUUUGUAUACGGUAAUAAUAGUCAUUCGCAUUCCGUUGCUUCAAUGGCGCAGUACAAAAUAACGGUACAAUUUUCUUUCGUUCUUUUGUGUCUCAAAUUCCGUACUAAAUAAAUAGCAAAAACAACCCAAAAGUAAAUAAAUAAAAAAAAAAAACACAAGAAAAAUUUAAAUAAAAUAAAACAAAGAAAUUGAAAUUAAUAAUUAAAACAUAUUAAAUAAAUCGAAUAAGCAAAAUAAAAUGGAAACCCCUUAAAAUAAAAGAAUAAUUUAAACAAAGUGAACUUAAACCAAAAUAAAAAAAAAAUUAUUUGUGUUUAAACAAAAAAGCAAAGCAAAACAAAACAAACAAAGAUUAAUAAAAUAAAGUGCGAAAUAAAUUGCCAGAUGACAUGAUCUUUUUAUUUAACAAACAAAUCAUAUUGAAAAUUUUGACCAGAACUUGCAACGAAUGCAGCCUUCUACAUCCUAAAAAUUAUGCUUCCGGAAACCACUUUUACAUUGCAGAUCUAAGAUAUUUACACAUCUAAUGAAUGAUAAGAUAAAGAUAUGACAUACAAAAUGCAAAGAUCAAAGAAGAUGAUGAUCUUUUGUAUUACAAAGUUAUAUAUCGAAAAUUUUUAAAAGAUUCAAAAAAUUCGGAGUGAUUUCCGGGGUUUAACAGAAUCAGUUUUCAGAUAUGAGUGCUUAUUUGCAAAAACCAAAAGAUUACACAAAAUGUCAACGUUGGAAAACAAAGGAAAUUUAUACAACUACCCACAACUUACUUACCUAUGAGUAGACAGACGUACAUACAUAUAUAUGUAAAUAUUUACAAACAACAAAUGUAUGCCUGUAAAUAAACUGUUUGUGUAUGAAAAUGAUUCUUGUGUAUAAUAGAAACAGGACAUUCUUAUGUAUUUUAGUUAAGUUGACAAAGAGAAACAACCUCUUUCAGUUUCUUAAACGAUACCAGAUUCCACAUAACAUGACAAUUGAUAAAAAUUUACCGAUAAAAACAAGUGCAAGGAUAAUACAUGUAACUCACAAUUUAAGUAAGUAAAUCCCUAAAUAUAAUUGCAAUAGAACUCAUAUUUAUAUCAACUUAUUCAAAUAUUUAGUAUAGAGUUUUUAAUUAAUGACUUUUACCAACCAACUGACUACAAACGUAAAUUUGAUGUGUAGAUAUGUAUGUAUUUCGUUUUCCUUUCAAUAAACCAAAAGAAAUACACAAAUGUGCAUGUACAUAUGUAUGUAUGCAGCUAGCAAGUUAAUUUGAAAAAUUUACAACAUGUUGGAUAACAAUAGUAUAUUUUUAGGCAAAACUAUAUGACAUUGCAAACGAACAAAGAUGAAUGUGUGCUGAAUGCAACUAUAGAUGUGUGAAAUAGUAUUAAAAAGUUUCAGACACAUAUGAAAAAGAGAAGCGGACAGUAAAGAUAUAAGAAAAAAAAAAACACAAGCAGCAAGUCAAAAACAAAUUUGACGAAGAAAAAUUAGAAAAUGAAACUAAAGAAUACAAAUCUAAAAUAAAAAAAGAAACUGCAACACUAGUUUGUUUGCCUCAAGCAUUUUGCUAAACAAACUUUUUGAAAUACAACAACACAGUUACAUAUAGAAAAAAAUCUAUAUCUUCUCUAUCCAUAUCACACUCUAUAUUAUUUGUCUGUCCAAUUUCAUGAAGAGCCGUUCAACAUUAUAACUUUGUUGUUCUUGUUGUUUUCUAUUUUCUCUUUAGUUUUUUUUAACAAAAAUUGUCUAUGCACUAGUUUGCAUGUGUGAGUAUGUGGAUGUAGUUAUUUUUUAUUUUACCAUCUGUUUGAUUGUAUGCGGCAACUUCCGUUUCGUUUGCCUGCAUUCUUGUUCUAGUUUUAUUUUCUUUUUAAUGUCUGUAUGUAUGUUUUUUUCUUUUUAAAAAAUCUUUCUUUUUAUGAUUUUUUUUCUAGAAUUUCUUUAUUUUCAUUUUCCAUUGUAAACAUUUAGUUUCCUUGGGUGCUUUUCUU